rnacentral:antisense_RNA from 1 species
UUUCAGCGAGCCGAUGCGGACCGGCUCGUCGCGGUCCUGACCGUAGGUGGCGAUCAGCGCCUGGGCCUC